rnacentral:lncRNA from 1 species
CCAUCCACUGUAGGAGUUUGGUUGAAUUUUGAUUCUCGUGGGAGUUCGGAUGGUAUUAUGGAAGCUCGGACGGUCGAGGGAGUUCAGAAAGAUGCCACACAAGGUCGGAAAUCGAAAAUGCCCUGGAAGGGUCGGCCUUUUACAAACUUCGGCUGGGAGAAUUUUAUACCCAACACUAGUCCCCCUACUUUCGAGUUUGGAUUCCGAAUG